rnacentral:tRNA from 1 species
NNGGGGUGUGGGUCAAGUGGUAGCUCGCUUGCCUGGCAUGCGCGGGGCGCUGGGUUCGAUCCUCAGCACCACA